AGAGUUUGAUCCUGGCUCAGAAUCAACGCUGGCGGCGCGCUUAACACAUGCAAGUCGAACGAGAAAGGGGAGCAAUCCCUGAGUAAAGUGGCGCACGGGUGAGUAACACGUGGAUCAUCUACCCUCUUGUGGGGAAUACCGCUGGGAAACCGGCGACAAUACCGCAUAAGCUCGAGAGAGGAAAGCCGAAAGGCGCUGGAGGAGGAGUCCGCGGUCGAUUAGUUAGUUGGCAGGGUAAAAGCCUACCAAGACUGUGAUCGAUAGCCGGCCUGAGAGGGCACACGGCCACACUGGCACUGAAACACGGGCCAGACUCCUACGGGAGGCAGCAGUGGGGAACCUUGCACAAUGGGGGAAACCCUGAUGCAGCGACGCCGCGUGAGUGAUGAAGCCCUUCGGGGCGUAAAGCUCUUUCGGCAGGGACGAUUAUGACGGUACCUGCAGAAGCAGCUGCGGCUAACUACGUGCCAGCAGCCGCGGUAAUACGUAGGCAGCAAGCGUUGUUCGGAGUUACUGGGCGUAAAGGGUGCGUAGGCGGCUUUUUAAGUUUGGUGUGAAAUCUCCUGGCUUAACCGGGAGGGUGCGCCGAAUACUGAGAAGCUAGAGUACGGGAGAGGAAAGUGGAAUUCCUGGUGUAGCGGUGAAAUGCGUAGAUAUCAGGAGGAACACCUGUGGUGUAGACGGCUUUCUGGACCGUAACUGACGCUGAUGCACGAAAGCGUGGGUAGCAAACAGGAUUAGAUACCCUGGUAGUCCACGCCCUAAACGAUGCAUAUUUGGUGUGGGCCAUUCAUUUGGUCUGUGCCGGAGCUAACGCGUUAAAUAUGCCGCCUGGGGAGUACAGUCGCAAGGCUGAAACUCAAAGGAAUUGACGGGGGCCCGCACAAGCGGUGGAGCAUGUGGUUUAAUUCGACGCAACGCGAAGAA
rnacentral:rRNA from 1 species